UUUUUGGUGGGGUGGGCUGUUGAUAAUUAUAGUCAUGUGUCUGUAAGCAGACCAUGAAUAAAUGUCAUCCCCUUUUCUAGCCCUGAUAUUUUAAUGAAUGGGUGAAUGAACUACUUUGUUUUUUUCUGAGUUUCUUGAGGGAGAAUUUAGUUGCCACAGGAAAAUCAGGUUUAGUUGGAAUGAUAGACGCUAAAAUGUUUUCCUAGGAAAGUUUGAAUGUAUGAGAAAGAUUCCUGGAAACAGAAGAGGAUUACACAGGAGUGCACUGUGAGAGCAGCUGAAAACAGGGUUAAAAAGAUAAACAAGUCCAGUUUGAAUCAAAGGUGACAGGCCUGGUCUUGGCCCCAACUUUCAGGACAGCUAGAAGUUGGCCUUGCCCAACAAGAAAGAAGACAGUGGUCUGCCUUUCAGCUCUUCCUCAUGUUGCUGUUCAGCCUGCAACUUUCACUAACCAGAGAUUCUUAAAAGGAGCUAUCAUCAGUGAAAACAAGGAUACGCCCUAGUUAAUGAUACAAGGUGUUAAUUUGUCUCAUCUGCCAAAAGACAUUUAAAUGUUACUCGAUCUGUUUUUGGUGAAAUAUUUGGGCAUAUUUCAAACUUAUUCCGAAUGCUUUUUUGCUUAUCUAAGCUAAUUACCUCAAUCCAUGUACCUAGCUAUCACAAUUUUCCAAGAUACCACAGUUUUUCUAAUAUAUAGAAUACCCUUUUAUAGUCUGGGAAUUGAAAUCAUACUGUUUGGCUCAAGCGAUAUCACAGAUUUAUCAUGCACAUACAUUUUCAGAUGGGGAGAGUCCACGAGGUUCACUUGGGUGUGACAAUUCCCUUAGUGUUUGACUCCUGUAAUGUUUUUCCUGGUACUUCGCUAUUUUGGAAGUGCUGAAGCUUGCAUUUUCUCCUGUGAAAGAUUUUCCUGAGCUCCCUUCUGGCCUACUUCAUUACUUGGCCUCACUUCGCAUGUUCUAAUUUUUAAACUUGUUAUUCUCUGUGGACAGGGUUUUUGACAUCCAUCUUCUCUUUAACAAUUAAAAUGUUAUACAUUCUGGAAUUACUCAUACCAUACUCUGCUCAUGUUCCUUACUUUUGCUACAAGAGUUGCAUGGGUGGACCAAGGACAUCAUAUAACUAUUGCUUUAUUUUAGUCUUUUCAAGUAACUGCAAGUGUCAUUUUCCUAAUACCUCAAUAAAAUAUUUUUGGAUUCCA